rnacentral:tRNA from 1 species
GGUGGGGUGGCCGAGUGGCUAAUGGCAGCAGACUGUAAAUCUGCCGAGCUAACGCUCUACGUAGGUUCGAAUCCUACCCCCACCA